rnacentral:rRNA from 1 species
GGGGUGCUCGAGUGGCGAACGGGUGAGUAACACGUGAGUAACCUGCCCUUGACUUUGGGAUAACUUCAGGAAACUGGGGCUAAUACCGGAUGGGAGCUCCUGCUGCAUGGUGGGGGUUGGAAAGUUUCGGCGGUUGGGGAUGGACUCGCGGCUUAUCAGCUUGUUGGUGGGGUAGUGGCUUACCAAGGCUUUGACGGGUAGCCGGCCUGAGAGGGUGACCGGCCACAUUGGGACUGAGAUACGGCCCAG